rnacentral:rRNA from 1 species
UACGUAGGGUGCAAGCGUUGUCCGGAAUUAUUGGGCGUAAAGAGCUCGUAGGCGGUUUGUUGCGUCGGCUGUGAAGUCCCGAGGCUCAACCUCGGGUCUGCAGUCGAUACGAGCAAACUAGAGUGUUGCAGGGGAGACUGGAAUUCCUGGUGUAGCGGUGAAAUGCGCAGAUAUCAGGAGGAACACCGGUGGCGAAGGCGGGUCUCUGGGCAACAACUGACGCUGGAGGAGCGAAAGCGUGGGGAGCGAACAGG